rnacentral:sRNA from 1 species
ACCUAGCCCCGAUGGAAACGGCAUCCUUUUUUAUUUUUUAUGGACUUCGAUUCAAUCGAAGUGACAAAACUUGUAAAAAAAUAAAAAAGAUAUAGUGGACAGCGGGAUUAAGC